GAACGCUGGCGGCACGCNUAACACAUGCAAGUCGAGCGCACCUUCGGGUGAGCGGCGGACGGGUUAGUAACGCGUGGGAACAUACCCUUUUCUACGGAAUAGCCUCGGGAAACUGAGAGUAAUACCGUAUACGCCCCUCGGGGGAAAGAUUUAUCGGUGAAGGAUUGGCCCGCGUCUGAUUAGAUAGUUGGUGGGGUAAUGGCCUACCAAGUCGACGAUCAGUAGCUGGUUUGAGAGGAUGAUCAGCNACACUGGGACUGAGACACGGCCCAGACUCCUACGGGAGGCAGCAGUGGGGAAUCUUAGACAAUGGGCGAAAGCCUGAUCNAGCNAUGCCGCGUGAGUGAUGAAGGCCUUAGGGUCGUAAAGCUCUUUCGCCAGGGANGA
rnacentral:rRNA from 1 species